rnacentral:misc_RNA from 1 species
CAGCCCACCCAAAACAACAAUAUCGGACCCAACACUCACCACCUGGCAAAACAUCGGCAAGCCAUCGGAAAACCCAGGAAUCGGUGGCAAAUCACACCAAUCACCAGUAUCCGGUUCAACAAGGGUUAGACGAUAAACCGGGCUAACCCGAUAUUUCACAACCUUAGAAUCUUCCUUUCGGUCAACUCGAGCUUGAGCCAUAACGACAAGCUUCUGAGUAUUACAGGUAAGUUUCCUGCGCCGGUGAAAUUCCGG